AAAGUUCUUUCUGAUGUUUAAUCAGAAUCUCCUUUCUUGUCACUUGAAGCCAUAGGUUCAGGUCUGCAGAAAGCAGCCUUGCUCCAUCUUCCAUGUGACAGAUAUUUGAGAUAUUUGAAGAUGGCUCUCAUAUCUUCUCUCAGUCUCCUCUUCUCCAGGCUAAACAUACCCAGCUCCUUCAACC